rnacentral:tRNA from 1 species
GCUGCUAUAGCUCAGGGGUAGAGCACUCCCUUGGUAAGGGAGAGGNNUCAAAUCUCUCUAGCAGCACCA